UCCUUUCUCAAUUUUUCACGCAACUUGAAUAUUCCAUCGUCCCAGAAAUUUUCAGGUUUUUCGGCGAAAAACUUUUCAAUAUGAUUUUUUACUUCGAG